CGCUCGCCAGGCUCCCUCCGGCUGCCGCCGGCCCGCCGGUCCCUGCUUAGCUCCCUGGCGUGGCUGCUGAACCUGCCGGCCCGCAGCCUUCGAGGUGGCCUGUCCUUCCAGGGCUGAGAGUUCGAGGUCAGACCUCAACGUUGACCCAUCCUCCCUCAGCCUGAGCCAGAAUACACCCCUCCUUGACAGCCCACCUGACAAUAGGCUGGCCACCAGGAGGUGUCGAAUUUCACAUGCUGAUAUACAAGUGAAAAUUCCAUCGGAGCCUCAAUAAAGUAGAAGGGAAACAUUCUUCAGAAGAUUGACUAUGAAAAAAAGUAAUAAACAUGGCAGUAGUGAAAGUAUAAAGGUUUUCUCACGACAGAAGAGCUUUGUACUUAUUUAAAAUCAGAUGGCAAGGAGACAGAUGGCGAGAGAUUAAAGACAGUGAAGAAGGGAAAGGAAAUAGGACGUUAAUUUUUUUUCUGAGACAACAUGAAAGAAUGAAAGAAAGUAAAUUGAAACAUGAGAAUGUAGAGGCAAAUGAGUAAGAAACAGAAAAUCAUUGUUUAUUUAUACCUCCUCUAUUUUCUAAAAGAAUUUGAAAGAGCUUAGAAAAGAGGACACCGGAAUAAUAAAGUUAAUAAACAGAAGAAAGACCAGGACUCAAAAAGGAGGAAGAAGCAAACAUGAUCACCAUGAGAGCUGAUAGAGCUGGGUGAUUGAGUGUCAAAUUUGGCUCCAAAGUUUUUGGCAAUUGGAGCAAAGGGGAAAUGUGAUAUGUUUCCAGGUACCUCCUGCUGCAUAACAAACCACCUCAAAACUGUGACUUAGAAUAUUAACAAUCAUUUAUUAUUAUGUCUCGUGGUUCUGUGAGUUGAACUGGCGUAUAGUUCAGCAGGGAGGUUCUGGCUCUUGAUCUGUCACGCAGUUCUGGUCAGUGGCUGGGGCUUGAGUUGUCUGAAGACGAGCUCAUUCACAUGUCUGGAAAGUCGCAUGGGCUGGAAAGACUCAAACAACAGGGCUCAAAUGCUGGGGCUUUCAAGCAUCUGUGUUUCUGUGUGUUCUCUCUAGCAUGGUAACUUCAAGGUAAUUCCAAAGAUACAUGCAAGCAGAAGCUGUAUUCCCUUUAUGACCUACCCUUGGAAGUCACUCAGCAUCACUCCCUCUGCAGUUCUUUAGAAGCAAGUCUCUAAGGCUGAUCUAUGUUCAAGGGGAGGGGAAUGAGUUCCCUUUUUGAAGAAAGGAACUGCUAAAUAAUCUGUAACAUAUUUUAAAACUACCACAGGAUAUAACAGAUUUCUCAUUGUCAAAAUGGUAACAAUGUAUCACUUGUCCAAGCUUGCACCUGAUGUCCGUCUUGUGAUUUAGAUGACGUAAGGGGGAGGAUCAUUAAGCGUGAGAGUAGAGAUGAACAGAUGGUGAGAUUAAGGAGAACGGUGUGUGUUUAGAAUAUCUCUUCAUAGAAGCAUAUAAUCCCAGCAUUGCAGAGCCUUGCUUCUCAAAGUGUAGUCUAAGACCAGCAGCAUCUGCACAAUGAGAGUUUGUUAGAAAUGCAGAAUCUUGGCCCCAACCUCAGACCUACUGAAUCAGAAUUGCAUUUUAGCAAGACCACACAGGGGAUUCCUGUGCAUAAUAAAGUUUGAAAAGCACUGGUUAAGAGGCCAAAUCAAAUUCUUGGGUAGUGGGGAGGGACAAAUUGUUGCUGUGUACACACUUAGAGCAGGCUGUGUGUCCUCCUUUAUGGGACAAAACAGAAUAUGAGUGGGAUAAGGCAGUUACUAAAUAGUGGAGUCCUCUGAGAUUGAGAAUUCCAUACAUUCAUUGACGAGGACAUCUAGGAUGGGUGUUCGAUACUUAGGUGGAAUUGAAAUAGAAAUAAGAACUAAGUGGUUUGGGGAAAGGGUGCAGUUAUGGAGGAUGAAGGUUGGAAUAAGGCUGGAGAGCUGAUAUU